rnacentral:lncRNA from 1 species
AUAGCCAUCUAGUUCUGUGGCCUACCAGUUCUCAUCCUUUGAAUUCUUAGGUUAGACGAGAAGAUACAUGAGAUCUCUAAAUCUUCAGGUUUAAACGUAGAUGUCUUUCACUACACCAGAGUAAAUAGCUUAUUCAAUAUUCAUUUUAUGAUCGUUAUUGGACUUCGGCUUCCUACUGCCUUUCAAAUAGGCCAUCGCAAGAUUUUGUCCAGUAGUAACGCAUUCAUCCUUUAAUGUUCGUGCCCGUCUCCUUAGUGCUUGAUAGAAAGGAUGCACUUCUUAUGUUAGCAAUGCUUGUGGAGCCUUUGUGGUCAUUCUCAGACAUGCACAGAGUGGGGAAAAACAUUGAGUCACCUGGAAUCCACGUUCAGCUGAGGUUGAACCAGCAAUCCUGGAAUCAGGGCACUACGGGUAACCACAUUCUCACUUUACAAAUGAUAACUCACACACCCCAUGGAAGAUCCGGGAAGUCUUCUGAUGCCCCUGCUUUCCAAGACAAUAUGAUGCUUCUCUACAUUCCAUGGACUAUGACAAGUAUAUCAGUCGUCGAAGUGGGUGGUUUAAUGGCAUGAUUAGCUCCAUUUUCUCUUCCUGCAGCAUAGCAAAGUGCAUAAAGCUUGAGCUCUGUGUCCAGCAGAUCUUUAUUAGAAUUCCAGUCCCCCCACAGUUACAUAUGCUCUCUCCCUGACAGUUUUCACAGAUGAAUCAUCCAGACUCCAUUUCCUAUUAGAGCUGGACCCUCCACUUGGACUUUUGACACUUAGACCCCUCUAGCCCACACAGGGACAUCAGUGCAAUAAUUCUCCCCUUUCUACAGCAUCAUUAAAUUUUGCCUCUCUCCUGGAUCAUCCCAUUCACAUAUUCAUAUGCUGUUAUUUCUCCCAUCUAAAACUGACCAGGCACUGUGGCUCAUGUCUAUAAUCCUAGCACUUUGGGAGGCCAAGGCUGGCAGAUCACUUGAGGCUAGGAGUUUGAGACCAGCCUGGCCAACAUGACAAAACCCCAUCUCUACUAAAAAUACAAAAAUUAGCAGGGUGUGCUGCACUCCAGCUUGGGCGACAGAGCAAGACACUGUCUCAAAAUAAAUAAAUAAUUAAUUAAAAAUAAAAUUACUUUCUCCUGA